CUGACGAGUCCCAAAUAGGACGAAAUGCGCGUC
rfam:Schistosoma rodhaini strain Burundi genome assembly, scaffold: SROB_scaffold0004451